UACGAAGCGCUCUCGAGGAUGCGAGCGUUUUUAAGAUCACCUACCUUGAUUUCCCUCGCAGACGGGACAGCUUUCGCCGUCGUUAUUAAAAAUGACGUCUCCGAUUGAUCUGAAUUGUACAUCUGAAAAUCAAACUAUUGACCGGUUACAUUUUAGUGAUCUACUACCGACGUGAAAAUCUGGGGGCCACUCCGGACGGGUCCGGUUGUGAAACGCCUCUCGUUUGAGUGCCGCCAAUCACUGAACUCCAGAUCCUCGAGGCAUUUAACCAGAAAGGUGGAACCAACCCCAGAGCCGAGCCAGGUUACUUAAUUCUGGAGCGUUUCCAUUUCCGUACUGUUUCAGCUCCUCUAUCCGACACGUGUGUUUAUCAUUUUUACAUAUUUUCUGGGAAUCUGUUUGGGAACGGCAAUAUCCAGCAUCUCUGCUUCUGCCCCCCGAUUUACACGUAUUUUUUCCCUCGGUAGCAAAACUUCUAGGCAGUCGGGCAGGAUGGGUUGAUCGGAAACCUCCCAGGAUGAUUUACUGAAGCUUUUUGUCUUUUGCGUUUUUGGUGCAUUUAUUACCUUUUGAUUCCUUUCGAUUCUUUUAUGAUGACAUUUUUCUCGUCAGGAACCAGCAAGUUAACUCGGCACGCGGAUCCACCGACCUCGUCUUCGUUCAUUCGGUAGUAUUUAUUGGGCGCCCACUACGUGCAGAGCCUUGUUGAGCAUCCCGUAUGGACUGUCCAAAUGUCUCCAGCCACCCUCGCUCUUAAAUCGACUCUCUUAUCUCAUAAAUCGACUCUGAUAACAUCGGCUCUCCGCCUCCCCUCUCCGAUUCUCCAACCGCAUACCUCAGGAUCUCCAGCUGACCCCCCUUCAGGCCAACUUCCACUCAUCUUCAAGCCUGGACCCAGGGAAAACUCGGCCUUUUCUUUAAGGCGUUUUGCGGAGAGUUGUUCAGCGGAUCUUAAAUUGCUUUUUGUCGUCCGUUAAAACAGCAAAGGGUUUCCUCUUAGGUAUUGGAACGGAUUCACCGAUGGGAUAUCGGCAUCCAAGAUGCCAUUGCAAGCUGGACGUGUGUUGUGCAUUUGCUCUCUGUAAGGAUCAACUGUUAUUCUCUGGCUAAAGGCGACAUAAAGUUGUGCCGUGGUUCGAGGGGCUCUUUAAGAUUGGGUUUAUGGGGGGGGGGGGGGCGGGGUAGGUAGCGACUACUUGGCCGGAAUCUCCUGUCCCCAACCCCGUGCCAUUAAAACCGCCCUUAGGAAUGGGCCGCUCAGCCCGUCGUUUUACAGGGUUGACGUGUCGAAUGCAGCACUUCCUCCGGAGUAGAAUCUUGGAACGGUCUUAGCCGGAAUGUAUUUGUAAAAUAACAUGUUGUCACAGUACUGGGAAAAUGUGAAGGUAUGACUGUCAAUAUAUUUAAAGUGUAUUACAAUACAGUUUCUUGAGUUUCUGCAGUGUGAAA